rnacentral:rRNA from 1 species
UCAUGGCUCAGGAUGAACCUUUGGCGGCGUGCCUAAUACAUGCAAGUCGAACGGAGAUAUUGUAGCAAUACGGUAUCUUAGUGGCGAACGGGUGAGUAACGCGUUGGUGACCUGCCCCGAAGAGGGGGAUAACAGUCCGAAAGGAUUGCUAAUACCCCAUGCGGUCAUGGAGUUCAGAAGUCCAUGUCCAAAGGUGAAAAUCGCUUCGGGAGGGGCCUGCGUCCCAUCAGCUAGUUGGUAAGGUAACGGCUUACCAAGGCGACGACGGAUAGGGGACCUGAGAGGGUGGCCCCCCACAAUGGAACUGAAACACGGUCCAUACACCUACGGGUGGCAGCAGUAGGGAAUAUUAGUUAAUGUGCGAAAGCGCGAACUAGCAACGCCGCGUGUGCGAUGAAGGCCUUCGGGUCGUAAAGCACUUUUCGAGAAGAUGAGAAAGGACAGUACUCUCGGAAUAAGUCUCGGCUAACUACGUGCCAGCAGCCGCGGUAAAACGUAGGAGGCGAGCGUUAUCCGGAUUUACUGGGCGUAAAGCGCGUGCAGGCGGUUUGACAAGUUGGAUGUGAAAGCUCCUGGCUCAACUGGGAGAGGUCGUUCAAAACUGUCAGACUUGAGGGCGGUAGAGGGAGGUGGAAUUCCGUGUGUAGUGGUGAAAUGCGUAGAUAUACGGAGGAACACCAGUGGCGAAAGCGGCCUCCUGGACUGAUCCUGACGCUCAGACGCGAAAGCUAGGGGAGCAAACGGGAUUAGAGACCUCGGUAGUCCUAGCUGUAAACGAUGUGAACUUGGCGUCGGUGGGUUUAAAUCCAUCGGUGCCGUAGCUAACGCGAUAAGUUCACCGCCUGGGGACUACGGCCGCAAGGUUAAAACUCAAAGGAAUUG